AGCACAGUGGCUUAAUGGUUAGCAAGUUUGCCUCACAGCGCGGGGGUUGGGGGUUCGAAUCCCACCUGCGCUC